rnacentral:rRNA from 1 species
AGAUACCCCUGUAGUCCCAGCCGUAAACUAUGCUCGCUAGGUGUCAGGCAUGGCGNGACCCGUGUCUGGUGCCGCAGGGAAGCCGUGAAGCGAGCCACCUGGGAAGUACGGCCGCAAGGCUGAAACUUAAAGGAAUUGGCGGGGAGCACCACAACGGGUGGAGCCUGCGGUUUAAUUGGACUCAACGCCGGGAAGCUCACCGGAUAAGACAGCGGAAUGAUUGCCGGGCUGAAGACUCUGCAUGACUAGCUG